GCCUUCGUAGUGCAGUGAUCAGAACGCUCGACGCGCAUUCGAGAGGUCCGUGGUUCGAGUCCCGGUGAGGGCA
rnacentral:tRNA from 1 species